rfam:Stegodyphus mimosarum contig124706, whole genome shotgun sequence.
GCCAUCGUGAUGUAAUGGUCAGCACACUCGUCUCGUAAUCAAGAGGUCCGAGGUUCGAAUCCCGGCGAGGGCA